ACUGCUUUUCACCACAUGAACCUCCUGAGGAGACCUCCGCACCGCCGCCCCCUCUGGGAGCGCUCGCGGGAGACCAUCUUGCCGCGGUCUGUCCCGCGGCCCGUGCGGACCGCUACCGGGGGCCAGUCCGGGUUUCCGAGGGAAAUGGGAAGACGACGUGUGGGAAGCGGCGAGGGAAGCCCCGGGACGGUCGCCCUCACGUUAGGAACCUCCGCAGGCCCACGGAAUUGGAUCACUAACGGACCGGGAUCGUUGGCUGGAACCUUCACGUCGCCUCGGACCGCACCUGUCGGAGCUCCAGGGGAUGCUCCCGGCCCCGGGCCCCCGCCUCACCCCAGCUGUGGCCUGGUUACUGCGCUGGGAAACGCAGAGCCGGCCCCCCUCCCGACUCAGGAAUGUUCAGACUCGUGCACCUGCUCCCUCGCCUUGUCAAGUAGCAGGAUGGUAGUGCUCCGCUCGCCUGCACAUAUGGAAGCCAGACGUGCCUACCCCGCAGGGCCGCGGCAGAGCAAAGACCGACUUUGGACGCGUUUCUCCAAGCUGCAGGCCUCACAGAGCUGCCGCAGGCGAGGAAGCUCCGCCAGGGCACAGCGGAGGGGGAGAGGGCCUAACACAAGACGCUAGAAUGUACAGGGCACCCGCUAAGCAGGUUACAUACAUUGUCACGGCACUUGCCCUAACUCUGCCUGGCAGAUACUUGCAUCAGCAUUUUAGUGAUGAAGAAACAGGCCCAGCUAAUCCAGUGGGUCUUGGCAAAGCCGGUUUCAGGUCAGGUCUACACGAUGCUGAUAUUUAUUUACUUCUACCGGGUACUUGCCUGUCCGUGUGCUGCUGCCUUCUAUCUAGGAUCUACCGAAAAGAGAUGUAGAAAAAGUCUUAUCAUGCACAUGUGGAGGAUUGUCCAGAGCUGCACGAUUAUACAGACCUUAUGGAGAAGGCCUCUCCUACUAACGUUACCACUCUUGACACAUGGUCACAGUGGUUUUUAUCCAAAUAGGGGUUGCUUCAGACUCUAUUCUAGCAGAAGGAACUGCCUUUUAGUAUCAACUGAGACGGUAUUGUUAAGAAGAACAUUCUCCAAGAAUAUUACUCCUUUUUAUACUUAGCAACAACAUUAUGAAUUUGAAGCUGAAAGUGAAAUUCUCCUUCAAAAUGAUAUGUAAGUACUUUUCGAACAGAGAGACGAUAAAAGAGAAUAUUUGGGAGCAGUAUCUUUCCAGAAAGUAUGUUUCACCUCUUUCUGUCACAACUCAUGGCCUAUGAAGUUAGCAUUCAAUGUUAAUUUGAAAGCCAACUCUAAGAAAAAAGGUCUUCUAGUUUUGGAGACAAAAAGGCUCAAAUAAUUCUUAAGAUCUUAAUUACCAAAUCUGAACAUAUCUAUCCAAAUAUUUAUAAAAUUCAAGUUGGAAAUUAUGAUAUUUAUUUAUUUUGCUACUAAAUUUUUAGUGGAAAAGAUAAUAAAAUUCUCAGAAAUAAUACAGGAAAGAUACCCUAAUUUCCCCAUAUUUAGGGUGAUUUGCCCAAAAUUAUAGAAUCAAAUUCUCUUACCUCUGACCAGCUUCUGCUAGUUCAUCUUUAUUUUUAUCUUGGCAUCUGCCAGACAUUGGAAAACUUAAAGUAGUCUUCGGAGUUAAGAAAAAAGAUUAUCUAAAGCAGAGUAUCACCAAUAGACUGUAAUCAGCGAAGGCAAAUUUUCUUCACGGACUCUUUGAGGAGCCUCACUUGGGUUACAAGAAACAGAGCAGUGUUUGUGUAACCCUGUGGCAAUGCCUGGGAAAGAAUCUCCUAACCCCACCCACCAGACACUCCACAUAAAUAAAAACAUCUUUACCAUAUGGCAAUUCCAUUCACACCCAUUUAAUACUCUCAGGAGAAUGUGUAAUCACAUCCAGUGAGCCACAACAUAAGAAUUUACUAGAAGGAAAUAUAUAAGAGCAUCUAGUAUGACGUUGAUAGCUCAACAAAAUCAAUAACCUCUAGAAGCAACCUUAAUCCUGAUAUAAAUAAUCAAAAUAAAUUCCUGUAAAAAACCCCAAACACACACAUCCUUGUAUAAGUUCUACUUUCUCAAAAUCUAAAAAAAUAACUGAGUAAACAUUGCAUGUACUUAAAUCUGAUCAAUUCAAGGGGGAAAAAGAAAAACACUACAUGCCAGCAUAGAACUUAGUCAAAUACCAGGUAAAAAGGUACACUUGCACAGCAGAAGAUCCUUAGAAUGAUAAACAGAUUCAAAACUUCAAAAUAUUUGACCACUCCUCCUUUUUUUUAUUAUUAUUCCAAACAAAGUCAAGAUAAAAAUAAACAAGGACUGAGAAGUCUCCUGGGCUUCAGAAGUAUGGAUGUCAUCUUAUCUCUCCGCUGUUGUCUCUGAUACUGACCCAACACAUGGGUAAGUAUUUGCUAAGAAAACCUCAGCUUUUAAUCUUUUCUAGGAGAGACGGAGUAGCAGAAUGAAACUGAUAAAGGUCUUCUUAGUUUGUUGGGAAUUGGCUUUCUUUGUAAAAGGACUCAGUCUAGGGGAUUCCUGGGUGGCUCAGUGGUUUAGCACCUGCCUUUGGCCCAGGGUGUGAUCCUGGAGUCCUGGAAUCGAGUCCUGCGUCGGGCUCCUGACAUGGAGCCUGCUUCUCCCUCUGCCUGUGUCUCUGCUUUUCCCUCUCUCUCUGUCUAUCAUGAAUAUAUAAAUUAAAAAAAAAAAUUUAAAGGACUCGAUCUCACCUGCCUUUCUUCAUUCACUGUGGACAACUGCAUUAGUCUCCUCCUGCCAACAGCUAACCUUGGCUGGAGUGGGAUGAAGGCAUCUGGACCCCUGAUUAAGCCUGAGAGUCUACUUGCAACUUAAUGGAACCACCUCACCAUGUGGACUGACCACUCUUUCUCUCUGCUAUCUGGCCACAACCUGGGUCUUCCCUUUAGCUCCCUCCAGGUUGAAUUGUGGACGGGGAGCAUAUGACAUUAGUCUGUGCAAUGUAUAAUUACAGUGUGUUCUCAGUGCAGUUACUUAAGAAAACUAUCAAAUAGAAGCUACUAAUUCCCAUUCAGUGAUGAUAGAAAGCCAUUGAUGACCAUACAACCCAUUUAUUUCCCUAUGUUUUUUCCUUUAACACAAAUAUAUUGCUCUUCCCCUUUAAAUAAGCCAGUAUGAAUUCUUAAGUAAUAUAUGCACAAAUUCAUGAGGAGAGGCCUAAUAUUAGUUAGAAACAACUCACUACAGCACGCCAGCUGGCAAAACUACUUCCAGUUUGUAAAAGAGAAAAAAAAUGGCUUAACAUUUGAAUCACUAUAUCAUUUCACACACAAAGACUUCAUGUUCAUACCAGAAAGACAAGCCUUACCACAUUUGCAUGUAUCCUUUUAUAGUUGUUGUGAUUUUGCCAAGUGCUUUAUGAUCACUUUUUAUUAGCUGGGGCUCUCAAUAGUCCUGUGAGGUAUAGAUUAGUAGGUAAAACAGGUACUGUACAUGAUGAAGCAGGAAGUGAACUCCCUAAAGACGUUUUAUUCCAAGAACGCCUGGGUGGAAGAAUGCACUUUCCCCUGUUUGCCAGAGGCACCAGGAAAUAAAGUUGGCCUGCAAAAUACUACUGAGCCAUUUUUAAAAGCCAUUUUCUUCACAAAGCACAUAUAUAUCUCUUUUCUCUCUCUCUUGCUCUCUCUCGCUCUUGCUCUCUCUCUUGCUCACUCACUUGCUUAACGAAAGUGAGCAAGGCUGAAUGGGGGUUUAUAUUUCAAUUCAAAAGUGUUACCAUAUGGCAUCCCCCUCAUUGAUACCUUUACCCAA